CUACGGAGGGUGCAAGCGUUAAUCGGAAUUACUGGGCGUAAAGCGCGCGUAGGCGGUUAUUUAAGUCAGAUGUGAAAUCCCUGGGCUCAACCUAGGAACUGCAUCUGAUACUGGGUAACUAGAGUUUUGGAGAGGUAAGUGGAAUUUCCGGUGUAGCGGUGAAAUGCAUAGAGAUCGGAAGGAACACCAGUGGCGAAGGCGACUUACUGGCCAAAAACUGACGCUGAGGUGCGAAAGCGUGGGUAGCAAACAGGAUUAGAAACCCUAGUAGUCC
rnacentral:rRNA from 1 species